rnacentral:lncRNA from 1 species
CAAAUUUAGCAUAUAAUAUUACAUAUUGUAGCAUAUCUAUAAGUAUCUAUAACAAGCUAUGACAUUCAUUUACUAAACAUAUGAAAAAAGCAAAACUAAAACAACAGAUUAAGCAUUCAUAUACAUGUAGCAUAUAACUAUAUAUAACAAGCUAAGGCAUGCGUUUAUUCGACAAAAAGAGAAAGCAUAACUAAGACGGCAAAGUAAGCAAAUUGAACUAUUCCGCUAAAAGUUAAGCAAAGUCAAAAAGCUAAAUAAAAAGAAGAAUUCAAAAUGAACACAAAAACUUUUUUUUUUCUUUUCUAUACUUACUUCAAAUGUUCAUAUCAAAGCCUGCAAAAAGAGAUCUAACAUUACAG